CCCUUAGAUGUCCUGGGCCGCACGCGCGUUACACUGAUGCAUUCAACGAGCUUAUAACCUUGGCCGAGAGGCCUGGGCAAUCUUGUUAACGUGCAUCGUGAUAGGGAUAGAUUAUUGAAAUUAUUAAUCUUGAACGAGGAAUUCCUAGUAAACGCAGAGCAUCAAUCUGCAUUGAUUACGUCCCUGCCCUUUGUACACACCGCCCGUCGCACCUACCGAUUGGAUGGUCCGGUGAAGCCUCGGGAUUGUGGUUCUUGCCGCUUUAUUGUGGCGUGACCGCGAGAACUUGUCUAAACCUUAUCAUCUAGAGGAAGGUGAAGUCGUAACA
rnacentral:rRNA from 1 species